rnacentral:rRNA from 1 species
UCCUACGGGUGGCAGCAGUCGAGGAUCUUCGGCAAUGGGCGCAAGCCUGACCGAGCGACGCCGCGUGCGGGAUGAAGGCCUUCGGGUUGUAAACCGAUGUCAGUGGGGAGGAAAUGCCGGAGGGUUCUCCCUUCGGUUUGACCUAUCCGCAGAGGAAGGACGGGCUAAGUUCGUGCCAGCAGCCGCGGUAAGACGAACCGUCCAAACGUUAUUCGGAUUUACUGGGCUUAAAGGGUGCGUAGGCGGCCCGGAAAGUUGGGUGUGAAAGCCCUCGGCUUAACCGAGGAACUGCGCCCAAAACUACCGGGCUUGAGGGAGAUAGAGGUGAGCGGAACUUAGGGUGGAGCGGUGAAAUGCGUUGAUAUCCUAAGGAACACCUGUGGCGAAAGCGGCUCACUGGGUCUCUUCUGACGCUGAGGCACGAAAGCCAGGGGAGCGAACGGGAUUAGAUACCCUUGUAGUCC